rnacentral:snoRNA from 1 species
CGCUUCGUGUGAUGACAUAGCCUUUUUUUAAACAGUUAUCCCUGUCUUAAAACAUUGUGUGGAGAAUGCCUAACUUCUGACUUUACG